CCUACGGGUGGCAGCAGUGAGGAAUAUUGGUCAAUGGACGAAAGUCUGAACCAGCCAAGUAGCGUGAAGGAUGACUGCCCUAUGGGUUGUAAACUUCUUUUAUAUGGGAAUAAAAUGUUCCACGUGUGGGAUUUUGUAUGUACCAUAUGAAUAAGGAUCGGCUAACUCCGUGCCAGCAGCCGCGGUAAUACGGAGGGUCCGAGCGUUAUCCGGAUUUAUUGGGUUUAAAGGGAGCGUAGGUGGGUUGUUAAGUCAUUUGUGAAAUUUUGCGGCUCAACCGUAAAAUUGCAGUUGAAACUGGCAGUCUUGAGUACAGUAGAGGUGGGCGGAAUUCGUGGUGUAGCGGUGAAAUGCUUAGAUAUCACGAAGAACUCCGAUGGCGAAGGCAGCUCACUGGAGUGCAACUGACACUGAGGCUCGAAAGUGUGGGUAUCAAACAGGAUUAGAUACCCCAGUAGUC
rnacentral:rRNA from 1 species